rnacentral:rRNA from 1 species
GACGAACGCUGGCGGCGUGCCUAAUACAUGCAAGUAGAACGCUGAAGAGAGGAGCUUGCUCUUCUUGGAUGAGUUGCGAACGGGUGAGUAACGCGUAGGUAACCUGCCUUGUAGCGGGGGAUAACUAUUGGAAACGAUAGCUAAUACCGCAUAACAAUGGAUGACACAUGUCAUUUAUUUGAAAGGGGCAAUUGCUCCACUACAAGAUGGACCUGCGUUGUAUUAGCUAGUAGGUGAGGUAAUGGCUCACCUAGGCGACGAUACAUAGCCGACCUGAGAGGGUGAUCGGCCACACUGGGACUGAGACACGGCCCAGACUCCUACGGGAGGCAGCAGUAGGGAAUCUUCGGCAAUGGGGGCAACCCUGACCGAGCAACGCCGCGUGAGUGAAGAAGGUUUUCGGAUCGUAAAGCUCUGUUGUAAGUCAAGAACGGGUGUGAGAGUGGAAAGUGCACACUGUGACGGUAGCUUACCAGAAAGGGACGGCUAACUACGUG